UAUGCACCCUCCCCCAGCUUCCUCCACCUGCAUCUCCACUAUAUUACAAUUACUACUUUCUCUCUCUUUGUAACUUGUAAGCAUGGAGUCCUCAAAGAUCUAUGCUUACCUCUUCCUUUGCAUGCUCUUCCUCUCCUCCGCCACUCCCAUUCUCGGUUGUGGCUACUGUGGCAAACCCCCCAAAAAGCACAAGCCUGGUAAAACACCAAAGACACCCACAGUACCCGUUGUUAAGCCACCAGUCACAAUCCCUCCCAUUGUUAAGCCACCAGUCACAAUCCCUCCCAUUGUUAAUCCACCAGUCACAAUCCCUCCCAUUGUUAAUCCACCAGUCACAAUCCCUCCCAUUGUUAAUCCACCAGUGACAGUUCCACCCGUUGUGCUUCCACCAAUAGUGAAGCCCCCGGGUUUUCUCCCUCCAAUUCUUAACCCACCAAGUACACCAACACCGUCGCCGGGGAAGGGAGGGAACACUCCAUGUCCACCACCAAAGUCUCCUGCACAGGCUACAUGCCCCAUUGACACGCUCAAACUAGGUGCUUGUGUGGAUCUUCUUGGUGGCUUGGUUCACAUUGGCUUGGGAGACCCUGUUGCGAACCAGUGCUGCCCCGUGCUUCAAGGCCUGGUUGAGCUUGAAGCUGCGGUGUGUCUUUGCACCACUCUUAAGCUGAAGCUUCUCAACCUCAACAUUUAUGUCCCACUUGCCCUUCAGCUUCUUGUGGCUUGUGGCAAGUCUCCUCCUCCUGGUUACACCUGCUCCCUCUAAACCAGUGAAAGGAUUGAGGAAAAUAUGGUCAAAAUCGACAUGAGAGGAUGUCGAGCCACACUAUCUCUCUUCUGUCCUGAUUGGAACUGCUGUUGUUUGUUUUGCUAUUAUUUGAAAAACCAAUUUGUUUUUAAUUGAGAUUGUUGCAUGUAUGUUUUAAUCCUAGGCAAGUAGCAGCAAAGAUGCUUCUCUGUGACAUGUUCAAUUAUUAAUUUAUAUGAAUUGCGCUUUAAUUUGUUGAAUAUAUCAGGUUCGUACGUGUUUCUCUA